rnacentral:rRNA from 1 species
GACGAACGCUGGCGGCGUGCUUAACACAUGCAAGUCGAGCGGAAAGGCCACUUCGGUGGUACUCGAGCGGCGAACGGGUGAGUAACACGUGAGUAAUCUGCCCCUGGCUUUGGGAUAGCCACCGGAAACGGUGAUUAAUACCGGAUAUGACCACUUCACGCAUGUGUUGUGGUGGAAAGUUUUUCGGCCAGGGAUGUGCUCGCGGCCUAUCAGCUAGAUGGUGGGGUAAUGGCUCACCAUGGCUUCGACGGGUAGCCGGCCUGAGAGGGUGACCGGUCACACUGGGACUGAGACACGGCCCAGACUCGUACGGGAGGCAGCAGUGGGGAAUAUUGGACAAUGGGCGGAAGCCUGAUCCAGCAACGCCGCGUGAGGGAUGACGGCCUUCGGGUUGUAAACCUCUUUCAGUACCGACGAAGCGCAAGUGACGGUAGGUACAGAAGAAGCACCGGCCAACUACGUGCCAGCCGCCGCUGUAAGAC